rnacentral:lncRNA from 1 species
CGGCCCCCGGCGGCCCCGUGGAAACCCAGGCCCUCGUCCCUCGUGUCUCGCCAGGCUUCGUGAGCUUCGACAACCCGGCCAGCGCGCAGACCGCCAUUCAGGCCAUGAACGGCUUCCAGAUCGGCAUGAAGAGGCUCAAGGUGCAGCUGAAGCGGCCCAAAGACGCCAAUCGCCCGUACUGAGCGCCGGCGGGAGCGUCCCCCGGGGGAGACCAGGACUCGCACAGGUAACCGGGGGCUACCGGGGUGUGGGAACGGGAGGUCUGGGAAGCGGGCAUCAGACGGACCCGCCAUCUUCUUGGGCCUUUGUGGGCCUGACCCUCAUUUGUGCCUUGGACCCGAUGCGCCUGCCUCAACCUGCUCCUUGCCUAGUGUCUACAGGACAGGAGCAGAGCUAUGGUCAUCCUGGCAGAAAUGGGCAAGGUCGUCCCCUGUUGUGGGGCCAAGAGGAGCAGGAGUGAGGGAGUCAUCUGGGAAAGUGUACAAGGCCUAUACUGGCAGUUCUUCUUGCCACAGACCCUGGGGUGGGCAGAUGGCAAACACAGAGCUAUAGCCACAGGUUGAGGCCUUCUCCCAGACUUCCUGGCUCUCCUCUCCUCAGUUCUGGGAAGGGCCUGCAGCCUUUAGUCCUUUGACCCCUCAUCUCUCCAGCUGCCUGUAGCUCAGUCAGGACAGAGGAGGCAGGAUUUUUCAAAGGGAACUUUACCAGGAAACAAAACAGAAUGGACCAAAAGCUGGGGAGGGUUGGUAUCACAGCACUGAGGUCCCUUACCCUGUUANGAGAUGUUCUAGGCCAUCAAAAGUCAACCUCAGCCAGUUUCCUUGGUGCUGUUUGCUACUGCAGUCCUCACAGACCAGAAAUGGAGGUCACCUUUGAGUUCUACUGACUCAGGAUGCUUCCCACACUCUGUUCCCCAUCUAGUCAGCAGUAUGGUACUUUAGGAACUGUUAGGGUUGCAGUGGUGACCAAGACUGAGAAGAAGGGGGCUGACAAUAGAUUACCUAGCAUGUCAGAAUUGUUAACUAAAGUUAAAUCAUGUGGUCAAGGUGCCCAGGGCCAGCCUCAUUGCAAGGGUAACAUUAGAACAAAGAUGUAGUCUUUGUGUGCAGACAUCCUCUUUCUGAGAACACAGCCAGUAUGUAAGUCCCAAGGUGAGGUCAGGGGCAGUGUGGCCAAGGAGCAGCAGGGGGCCAAGGUAGGCAGAAGGAAUUUAGGAGAUUGGGCCAAGAAAAUGGCAAGAGAGUCGUGGGUUAAGAAAGAAUGUCCACUUGGGGCCUGCACGCCAUUAUAUGAACUUUGAUCUCCUCUGAGAUGGGAGGGGGCAUUGGAGAGUUCUGGUAGAAGAACUUGCAUUUUGGCAGAUCACUUCAGCUGCAGUUGAUAUCAGGUUGUAGGAGCUGAAGCAUUGUCUUGUGUUAAGAUGGGAGUUCCUCUGGAGAUCUUACUAGGAAACUAACGCAGGAAGAGUAAACAAUAACGUCAAUGUGACAGGUUCACAGCCAACAGUCAGAACACUCCCACCAAGGUUCUGCCCAGCUCAAAGACUGUCCCCUGAAUCCCUUCCUGCCACUAGGUUAGCUAGUACAUACUGAACCUUAAUAGCAGGACGGUUCUCAGAAUCCUCGUCCUGAGGUUUUGUGGGUUGGAGAAGGUAUCAAGCUGUGUGUCUGACUCCAUGGGAGUCCUGUCUCCCGGGCCCUGGGCUUUGACUGCAAGUGUGCUUUUGCACAGUAUCUGGAGUGAGCUUUGCAGGUACAGGUGCCCCUCUCUGACCUGUGCAUUGCAAAGCUGUAGCUUUGGGCCUGGGCCCUCUCUGGCUAGAACCCAGAUGUUUUAAGACCUGACAUCUGAAUUGGUUGGGCCAGGCCAUCAUUUCCUCAGCCAGAUCAAUGAGUUGGAACUUCCUAGACCUGAUCUAAGCUUCCCCAUGCUGGUUAGUGAUCCCGUUGCCACCUCCAGGGCUGUGUUCUAUAGGACACCCCAGAGAGUGGCUGGGAAUGGUUGCCCCUACAGGCAGAGGAAGCAGGUAGCCAGCUGUGUACAUGCUGGGGAGGCUCCUGGGGGCUGAAUGCUGUACUGAGUGUAUGUGAGAGAUGAGGAUGUGUUCAAGAGAGUUCCCUACACUGGGUUUUGAGACUUCAGUUCCAGUGCUCAGCAUGGUGCCUGGCACUGAGAGGCAACUGGGGGAGGGAAAAGGAACAAGCACAGGGAAGGCGUGAAUGCUUGUGAGGUACCCAGGACUGGUGUGGAGGGCAAGGAGGAGAGUCCUCAGAUUGUCCCUUAGGUGCAGUUGCCAGAGCUAACACCUGAUGGCAAUACAUUUCUAAGUUCCAUAGGCCUCUUUUCUCAUACCAAAGGAAACUGCCAACAUACUGGGUGGAUCUAAGAGCUUUUGGGAGGGGUUGGAGGUGCAGAGGAGAGGGACAUUUCAGGACUUGGUGGGCAUGUGAUAGGCCUUUGUCUGGGUGAGGGAGAUCUGAUAUUGGAAGGAUAGAGCUCAGCUUGGGUGGGCAGACAGGACAGGGAGUCUAUGGAGGGAGGGAGAUUGGAGAGUGCUUCUGUGAUGGCUGAGCUGGAGGCAGUGACUCAAAGUAGAGUCACUGCUCAGCUACUGCACAGCUUAUCUAUUAUGACAUUGUAAGAUCCCAGGGGUCCCUUCCCACUCACCCUAAUGGAACAAAAAACUGAAAGUGGAAGUCUGCUGCAUGGAGAGGCCUGGUAGAUUGGAAACCCUGGUAAUAAAUUCAAGGCACGUAGGCUUUGGCACAGGCCUGAGUGCAUAGAAGAGCACAGGAUGAGGAACAAGCUCAUGAGUAACCAUGAGGUUGGAAUUGGGGACCCCAAAUCCUAGGGUGGGGGCAGAGGAUCAUGAGAUGGUGAAUGAGGGAGAUGGCAACUCAAAGCUGAGUAACCUGAUUUGUCUGAUAGAGAGAGGAUCUCAUUUCUCAACCAUUAGGGCUCCAUCAGGAGAGAAAAUGGUCAGACCUGGCCAGCUAGAGAGAGGGGGUGGGCUGGAAAGGGGAAGAGGAGUAGGGUGGAUGGGGCUCAGCAGAGCCAAAGUGAGAGCAGCAAGGGCUGGAGAUGCAGGGUCACUGUGCCACCCUCUCUGGUGUGCCACUCUGUGGUGUACCUGAAGCCUCCUUUGUGACCCUUUUAUGGGUCAGAGCUACAGAACCUUUGAAGGACUUCACACGCCCUGAAGCAGCCUCAGUUAGGCCACCUUGGGAACAAAUCAAAGGGUAUGAGGUAACCAUGAAAUGAAAUUGUAGGGCCCCCCUAGGCCUGUUGAUAGAAUUCCAAGAACAUAAGUGUAAUUUAGGAAAUUUCAGAAUGAAGUAUUGUCAUUUUCCGAAGGUUCUGAGGAAAAAAGGUGUUAUCAAAGUGGAGGGGAGGGGAUCAAAACUCCCUUGUGCGUGCUCAUGCCGCCUAAAGACCCCUUUCCUAGGGUGGGGGCUGGGAUCCACAGGCUGGAGGGCUGAGCUGCCGCUCGUAGUAUACCAUACUAUGGUGGCCAAAUGUCUCCUGUGGCACUUGCCUUAACCAUCCCUGCCAAUCAGGGUCAACCGCACUGGCUCCCACUGCUGAUCCUCAGGCUGGAGCCACAGAAAGCCAGGGAGCCAAGGAGAGCUCAGCAUCUGGGGGAGAAAAAUCAAGGGUGUUAAAAGCAGAGAGCUUGCUCCCUGAAAUCUGCUUGCUGGCCACGGUGGUUUGAGGGGCUGUUUUAUUUUUUCCUGGCCCUCUUGCCAAACUGCCUGUGCCUCUUCCUUUUCCCUACGCAUGAUGGAUGCCCUUAGUGGCCCUGUGUGAGGUUCUGCUGCUGUUCACAGUGUAUCAUGUGUCUGCAUAAACAGCCGUGUGCGUGUAUGUGUGUGUGCGUUGCUGUGCCCAUGUCGUCCGUCUGCGGGCUCCUCCAUCCUUUGAGUUCUUUUCAGUUCCCUUAUGAUUUGACUGCUGUUCUCCCAUCAGAGCUUUUAGAUUGAUGCUGUGGUCUGGUGCUGUUUAAAUAUUUUUCCUUUCGAUUUUGUUUUAACUUCUUCCUUGCCCUUCUUCACCCUCAACCCAACUCUCCCUACCCCCCACACUCCCGACCCCACCCCACCUGCCCCUCCUCUUCCCUCCCUGCCCACACUCUCCUGUCCUCUCUCUCUCUCUCUCUACAUAUAUAAAUAUAUAUAUAUAUAUAUAAAAAUCUUUUCUUCUUUUGUCAUUCAAUCAAAUUCCAACAACCCAACCAGGGCCAGUCAAAUCCACCACAGUCUCGCGCUGAGCUAGGAAUAAAGUUCACGUAAUCACAUGAGAGUGGAGAAAAGUCCCCCAUCCGUAAGUUCAAAUCAACUCAAAGUUCACAGUGUGACAUGAUGGCGUCAUGUAACAAGGCUAAGAAUCGGUUGCAUGACAAUUGCCGUCAAGUUUCGUGGAGGUGCUGUGAUUGGAGCGUUUUUCUUGGAUGUCGUAUCCGUGGAUGAUUGGCCAGUCAUGAUCACACGUGCAUUUUCUUGACUUUUGUGCUGCCACGAUCUUUUUUGCUGUGCUCAUUUUCGUUUCGUUCUUGGUGCUUGCAGUGGUUUUACUUUCUGUUGUUUGGUUUUUCUUGUUCAGCGUUUUUUUAUGCUUCUCUAGAUGUCACAUAGAGAAAAAAAAAAAAAUUUAGUAAAAAUAAAGAUGAAUUCCUGAAUUAUCAAACAUGGGAUCAUUUAACUAUGCAAACCAUUAUUUUUUUUUCUUAAAAAUAAGGAAAACAUCUUAAAAAUAUCUAUGCGUGGUUGAUUUACUUGCACUUGAAAAUAUUGUGAUUUUAUUUUUUUCUAGAAAUUUGGGGGCCUUUUUCAAUUGACACUUUCCUAGGUCUGGUCUUUUUCCAGUUAGGCUAUUUUAAAUCUCACCUCAAAAGGAAAAACCAAAACCCAAACCAAAAUAUGUAAUAUCUAUAGUAACAAAAUGAUUUUAAGAAAAUUCUAAACCAAAAAAAAAAAAAAACCAAAAAAACAAAAACUAGAGUACAAAGCCAGAGGCCUCUGAGAGAGAGCCCAGUAACAAUUAUAAGGUUUGUAUUAUAGCUACUCCUGCUAAAUUCAAUGUGGGGAGGGGAGCGGGGGACUGGGGGCUUGGGAGGGCUUUUUUGGUUGGUUUGGAAGAAACAGUACUGACAAAAGCAAAAUGCACCUUUUUGUUUACAACUGAAAAAGGGUCCUUGACAAGUGUUUUUUAAUUUUAUUAUUAUUUUAUUUGGUGUUGUAAUUGUUUAGACUGCUGUGUACGGUUUGCUGUUUGUUGAAUCAACAGUGUGAAAAACCUGCCAGCAUGGAUUGAUAUACGCAUGACGUUGUCCCCUGGACUGGGGGCUUUGCAGUUCUAACUUUCUUGAUGUAACCAGUCACCCCCAUGUAUAAGUGGAAGCUGCUUGCUAGAAUGGAGAUGAGUCUCAUUUGUUAAUUCACAACGAUAAGCAUUUGCCUUCUGAUUCUAGUCAGAUCAUGAUUUUUUUUUCUUAAAAGCAAAACACCAAAAAGCCACCAUUUGAAACAAAAUCAAGAACUGUCUGAGUUAAUUUACUUAAGUUUUAUAAUGAAAUCUGUUCUGACCUUUUUUUAGGUUCUCCCAUCCAUUCCCUGGAAGUUCUGAAUUUCCUCUAAAUUCCCUGGCAUGUAUGAGAAAAGUAUUAUGUAUGUGUGUAUAUGUGCAUAUACAUACACACAUAUCCAUGUAUGUCCACAUAUGUGCAGGUGAAUAUAUUCUACACAUAUAUCCAGAUAUACAUAUAUAUAUACACGCAGCCUCGCAAAUAGUUACUGAUCUGGGGAAAGAAGUGGUUGGCUGGAAACUGGGCAAGGAUUUUACAAAAUUCGAGUCUUGGCUCUGUCUUCCUUCUUUUCCUUAAGCUGGGGAGGAGUUGGCUAGGUUGUUCAAUUCUUGCUUUCUGGUUUGCUAGGCUUCUGUAUACAUAUUGUAUCUGGGCUGGAUCCCUCAGGGACAAGUUUAAUUAUGAAUUCACAUCCCACUGUCCCAAAUUCUUCCCUUAGAUAUAGCCAUCCCUCAAUCCAGAACUCUAAAGGAACCCAAAUCAAGAACUCUCUCCCCACAUCUAAACCUCAGCUACAACCAUCGCCACUAGACCGCCAAGUGGUUUCUUACUCUGAAUAGAAGAGCAAAUUUCUUUUGACUGUAUCAUGAUCAUGACUAAUUCUCAUACUGGUCUCUCUUCCUUCCCUCCUGCCAUCCCCCAGAGUUCCCAUCCUACCCCAAGGCAGGUUCCUAUUGGUGUUUGGAUGCAUUUUGUGUUUUCCCUCAUGGCUUAAUCAGCCCCGAUUUUCUUCAUUUUAGGGCAGGAUGCUGAACGGGCUACAUUAAAAAACAAACCUCUCUCUCUCUCUAUUUAUAAAUGAGAACUGUUGGAUGACACCUUUGACAUAUCAGCCAAUAUCAAUCAAGCUGAAGACUCCAGACACUCUGAGACUGUAACAUUUCUUCAAGGAAAGUAUAACGUCUAUGGAGUUCAGAGGGAACGUGUUUGGGGGAAAAAUAUACAUGACAUAAAGAAGACGACAAUGAAGAAAAAUGAGGAAAAACAUAUACACAUUAAAAAAAAAAGGCAACUUUAAAACAAAAUAACAUGAGACCAGACGGGGAGGCUGAAGGGCUGGGCACUGGGAGAAGACGCUGCUGCUUACCGAUCCUGGGGCUUUUCCAGCCCAUGGGCGCCUGAGGCAGGCGGGGGCAAGCGUGUGGCGGUGGGGGCCUGGUCCCCAGGGGGCGUCUGGGAGGCUGCCACUGAGCAUCUCUAUCUGUCAUUCCUUUAGCUGUUUAGGGACCAAAGGACCAAACUUUUUAUUGCAGAUGUGUAGCUCUAUGUCAAAUAGAGGAGGAAUGGAGGACUACCUCCUUCCUGCCUCCUGGCUGUUCUUGAAACAGCUUAGAGCGAUUCUAUGAAAAACAUAAUAAAAAAUUCAAAAAAAAAAUACAAAAAAUACAAAAAAUGAAAAAAAAUGCUUCAAUGCUUUUAAAACAGCAAGAUAAUAGUUCUUUGAUACUUUGAGAGGCGCUUUGAUUACCCUCAUUGAAGUCUAUGAAACUUUCCUAUGGUUUUCUGUAUUAUAUGUCUGGAUGGAGCUGUUAAGAUGCACAGAUUGGUGGAUAUUUGGGGAAAGCAACAAAAGUAUGAAAACUUAUUAACCCUGAAGUGUGAGGAAAACAAGGAGGGGAACAAAGGAUCUUCCAAGACAAGGUAAUUGUUGUGAAAAGUCUGUAAAUGCUUCUAACUCUUCCCCCUCUUAAAAAUCAUAAUAGUUGUACAGAAUUUUAAAAAGGAAAAGUUUAAAAUACCUAUAUAAUAGAAGAAAAAAAAUUAGAGGAAAGCAAAAAAUAAAAAAAAUUAAAAAAGGAAAAAAAAAAAACUAUAGAAGUUAGCGUUACUGCUAAAAUCCCAGAUGUUGUAGGACUGUACUUUUUGUAGAGUUUAGACUGAGCAUCAAUCCCUUCUCCCCGCGAGUGCUGUCGGACGCCGUUGUCCCCGAGGGCCAGGCCGGACUCUCCCAGACCUGCGGGCUCCCGGCCGCCCGUCGCGGUGGAGGCCGUGCACCCAGCCGGGAAGGGCCCCUCGCCCGCCGCCGCCGCCGCCGCCGCCGCCGCCGCCGCCGCCGCCGCCCGCGCCUCUCGCUUCGCUCUGGGAGCUGCGCGCUCGCUCUCCGCAAGCCCUGGACACCUCCCGCUUCACUCGCCUUCCCUGCUUGAUCCAGAGACUUUCCGGGCAAGGGAGAACUGGGAACUUUCAUCUUAAAACAACUAGGCAACACACACACACACACAAAAACCUUAAAAAAGAGAGAGAAAAAUAAACAAUCUUUGAAGAAUUUCUGAAACUGUUUACAAGGAAUUUUGAAAAACAGGGAUGUUUAAAUGAUGCCGGCUCUGUUUUUCUGUAAAUAAAUUUGCAUAUUUUGUAGGACUUUUAAUUGUAAUGAUAGAGAAAAAACAAGGAAAACUAUUUAAUGAAAGCACGAUAUUUAUCUUUGGUAAAUGACUUUAGAGCAGUUAAAGACAUUGCUUAAAAACUCAGAAUCAGAAAAUACACUGAAUUAUUUAAGAACACAUAUAUUUUAAAGUAUAUCAUAUUUAUUAUAAUUUAUUUGCACCUUUGGGAAGACUUGCGUUGGCAUUCUGCCUCCAUAAUUCCUUACUGAUGGCCAGUUCAUCCGGAGACCAGGGGGGCACUGGGACCUAUCACUUUUUUUUUUUUUUUUUCCUUUAGAAGAACAAAUUUCUGGUUCCUGUCAGGCCUCUUGUCUUUCCUUUCCUUUCUAUUUUGUUUGUUAUUUUUUUUCAUGUUUUUAAUUUUCUUUUUCUUUCUCUUGACUCCUCCUUUUAGGAUGUCCAGAUGUUGUAAAAAACAAAACAAAACAAAACAAAACAGCUGCAGUUCGGUACAACUGCUCUUUUCACACUCAACUCCCUAAAACUCCUUGUAACCUUCUGUAACUAUUGGAUGACGCUUUCUCCAGCUUAGCCCUAAAUAAAGCACAGUUUAAAAAAAA